UACGGGGGGGGCAAGCGUUGUUCGGAAUUACUGGGCGUAAAGGGCUCGUAGGCGGCCAACUAAGUCGGACGUGAAAUCCCUCAGCUUAACUGGGGAACUGCGUCCGAUACUGGAUGGCUUGGAUUCGGGAGAGGGAUGCGGAAUUCCAGGUGUAGCGGUGAAAUGACGUAGAUAUCUGGAGGAACACCGGUGGCGAAGGCGGCAUCCUGGACCGAUAUUGACGCUGAGGAGCGAAAGCCAGGGGAGCAAACGGG
rnacentral:rRNA from 1 species